UACGUAGGGUGCGAGCGUUAAUCGGAAUUACUGGGCGUAAAGCGUGCGCAGGCGGUUUUGUAAGUCUGACGUGAAAUCCCCGGGCUUAACCUGGGAAUUGCGUUGGAGACUGCAAGGCUGGAGUCUGGCAGAGGGGGGUAGAAUUCCGCGUGUAGCAGUGAAAUGCGUAGAGAUGUGGAGGAAUACCGAUGGCGAAGGCAGCCCCCUGGGCUAACACUGACGCUCAUGCACGAAAGCGUGGGGAGCAAACAGG
rnacentral:rRNA from 1 species